UACGGAGGGGGCUAGCGUUGUUCGGAAUUACUGGGCGUAAAGCGCACGUAGGCGGCUUUGGAAGUUAGAGGUGAAAGCCCGGGGCUCAACUCCGGAAUUGCCGUUAAGACUGCAUCGCUAGAAUUGUGGAGAGGUAAGUGGAAUUCCGAGUGUAGAGGUGAAAUUCGUAGAUAUUCGGAAGAACACCAGUGGCGAAGGCGACUUACUGGACACAUAUUGACGCUGAGGUGCGAAAGCGUGGGGAGCAAACAGG
rnacentral:rRNA from 1 species